GGGUUAGGUUGUUGUGUGGAUGGAAUUUAUUGUCUUCCUCCUUGGAAGUGGUAGAAAUUCCAGCAACAUAUUAAUCAUGCCCAGUCAGUGGUUAUCCACUGACAGUAAACUUGCAUUCCUCAACCAAACAUAUGAGCAGAGACAAUAAUCAUAGCUUUCUGCUCUUAGACUUUUUUUUAUAUGUAAAAAUUGCAUGAUAAUUCUUAUUUUCUUGGCUAAAGAUGCGUCAUCUAUGAAAUGUUGUCAUCAGUCAUCAUAGGCAUAGGUAUAAAGGCUAUUGAGAUACUUGAAUUCCAUAUCAUUUGCACAAUUCUUUUGAUGUGAGAUAAACGAACAAGUAAGUUACUGCCAUAAAAACUGCGAACUUUUAAUGUGUAUUGAAAUAGACUUCAUCAAGACAAGGAUCUUCUUUUCAUUCUUUUGGAGCUAAGUGUAGCCAGUGAAAAUUUAAUAUGAUGAAAAAUAUUUGUCUUUCAUUGCAAUAGUAGUUACAAAUUUGUUUUGAUGAGAUUGGUUAUGCAAAGGUUCAAAAAGUAAGAUGAUCAUUGUUUAUUCCAUUAUUUGGUCUAAAUGAGAAUAAUUUAUUUAUUGCAUCUAAUUAUAUGUUGGAAAUCCCAAUUUCUUGCUGUCAAUUUUGGGAAAGGUUUGAACGGGACUGGUAACGAAGCAUGAGAUUAUCAUUAUUAACAUCUUUUUAUUUGUUUUGUGUUUCUCAUUGUUCAAUUAAAAACUUAGUUUUAACAUUAGAAAAUUGUUGUCUUUGC
rnacentral:misc_RNA from 1 species